UGAUUUCUGUUUUCUUUCCCUUCCUCUCACUUACAUCUUUAAUCUUUUGUUACUUUUCUCUCUGGAAAAGAGUUGCUGCAUGCUGCUUUCCGAAAAUUGGUCUGCGCUUGUGGAGCGCACCUCCAAGAUUCAAUACAACUCUGUAAAAUCUCUAGGAGGGAUUGAGGAAUCUUCCAAAAGAAAGUCAAUUUAUCUUACUUUGAUCAUUCUGGGGCUACUGUACAAGCAUUGGGUCACCGUUAUGGUUGUUACCGUCUUCCACACACUAAAGAUGCAAGGUAUGAUUGUUAUAUUUAGUAGGUUGUUCUACUCUCUUUCUUUGAAAUUGCGGAAUAGUAAGAGUGCACGAAUCAUCCAGUGUAGUGUUAACGUGGUUUUGUCCACUACCGUUGUCCCUUUUUUAUUCUUAUAAAUUUAAAUAAUAUAUAUCUGAGAAAUUUUGAGGAGCAUAUUGAUAUUGAAAAUACUAUAAAAAUUAUAAACAAUAUGACACACUCUCAUAAGCUUUUUUGUUUUUCCUUCGGAAAUGGAAUGCUACAAACUUGAACAUCUUUUGAUUUCUUAUGCAUUGCAUGUAGUAAUAUACUUUCUCAAAGAAAAAUAUUUCUGCUUCUUUUUAAUUUGAAGUGAUCUAUUGCAGGCAAUGCUGAUUUUUUUUGUUUCUAUUUGUUAAUAUGUUCUUCAUCUUCAUGUCGAUGAUUCACUUGCUUUAGUUUUGCUUCUUCCAUACUGAUUUUACAAGCCAAAAAAGCAAGAACUUGCCUCCUAUUGCUGAAAAGUUAAUGGGAGAAUGUGGUUCCAUCAAAUUUCUUUUACAACUUUAUUUUAUUGAGAGAUUUCUUCCAUUCUAUCAUAUUUAACUCUUCGUUUGUAUUCAUGUUCAAUUAAUGAACUUCUGCAUAGGGUGGUAAUAGCAUAAAGAGAAGCUUAGCUAAUAUAGCUGGUGAUUAUAUGAGAUAUGGCCAUUCAGAAUCUGUUCUACGAUAAGCCGGUUUAUUUAUCGGCUGAAGCUGGGUAGCCUUUUCCUAUUAGCUUUUUUGUUGCUAAUUUAUAUUGCUUGAGUCAUAUCAAAAAGAUACAUCAAUAUCAGGCUAAGAAUUGCUAGGUGUUUCACAAGACGACAAUAUUCAUUGAUUGUGAAGUAGUCUAUUCCCUCGGCAUGCAAGGGGAAACAGGAAGUGAAAAUAAGCAGACGUGAUUAUUGAUGUUGAAAUUAAUGUGUUACCAUUAUUAUUUUCACGGAAUGACAUGUAAUAACAAAUGUCUGCUAUGGCUUCUACACUAACCAAUGUCGUGGCUGGUGGAGAUGAGAUAAAUCAAGGCUUGGCUGACGAAUGAGGUAGAGCUUGUGGAGUAGCUUAGAAUAAUUUUUACCAUUGUUCUGGGUUUUCUCAUUUGUCUCAUUUGUCUGCAUGUUAUCUGGUUAUCAGAGGAAAAAGGGGAUGUAAAGAGCAAAGCAGACAAUGGUUCCUGCUUAGCUGUUUUAAUAUAGAUCAUUAUGUGUGCAAAUCCCUUUUGUUUGUUCAGGUUCACAGUGUCGUAUUUGCAAAUCUUUUGAUAGUUUCCUUUGUUUAACUACAGUAAUUUGUUAUUCCAGUUUUUCAGCAUAUAAGUCAUGAGGUUAGGCAGAGCCUUUUUUUUCUUCUAUCAUUUUAUAAGUCAUGAGGUUAGGCAGAUUCUUUUUUUUUUCUUCUAUCAUUUUAUAAGUCAUGAGGUUAGGCAGAGCCUGUUUU